UUCUGUCUCUAGAGAGGUGACAAGAUAUGUGGGAACCCCUGCCCAAUUUGUCGUGAUCCAAACAUCAUCAUUCACCAUCAGAAUGUCAAGUUGUUGCAGCAAUUCAUUAGUCCCCACACUGGACUGGUGUUUGACUCCACUCGAACUGGUGUGUGUAUGAAACAGCAGAAGAAGCUAAACGAGGCAGUUGACACAGCACAAGAUCACGGUGGGUAAAUCGUGAUCGCCUUAGCUGCCACUCAUCUCCGCCAGAGCACUUUAUAACACUUAUACUGCACUUUAUAGUGCAUUUAUAGCACUUUUUUUUAAAUAAGCACACCUUCUUGCACUAAUCUUUUCUAGUGCAACAACUACCAUCUUCUGUGCAACCCAUCUGGAUUUGUCUUUAACGUCCAGCUUAGCUACAUGCUAGCUAACUGGCUCAGUCUUAAAGUAUAGUUUCAGGCUACAAGUUAAG